UCUAGUCUUAUCGGUGGAUCACUCGGCUCGUGGAUCGAUGAAGAACGCAGCCAACUGCGAUAAUUAGUGUGAACUGCAGAAACCUUGAACACAGAACUUUCGAAUGCACAUUGCGCCAUUGGAGUGACAUCCAUUGGCACGCCUGGUUCAGGGUCGUAACC
rnacentral:rRNA from 1 species